rnacentral:rRNA from 1 species
UACGGAGGGGGCUAGCGUUGUUCGGAAUUACUGGGCGUAAAGCGCACGUAGGCGGCUUUGCAAGUUAGAGGUGAAAAGCCCGGGGCUCAACUCCGGAAUUGCCUUUAAAACUGCAUCGCUAGAAUUGUGGAGAGGUAAGUGGAAUUCCGAGUGUAGAGGUGAAAUUCGUAGAUAUUCGGAAGAACACCAGUGGCGAAGGCGACUUACUGGACACAUAUUGACGCUGAGGUGCGAAAGCGUGGGGAGCAAACAGG